rnacentral:rRNA from 1 species
CUGCCUACGGGAGGCAGCAGUGGGGGAUAUUGCACAAUGGGGGGAACCCUGAUGCAGCGACGCCGCGUGGGUGAAGAAGUAUUUCGGUAUGUAAAGCCCUAUCGGCAGGGAAGAAUUUAGACGGUACCUGACUAAGAAGCCCCGGCUAACUACGUGCCAGCAGCCGCGGUAAUACGUAGGGGGCAAGCGUUAUCCGGAUUUAUUGGGUGUAAAGGGCGUGUAGGCGGGAAUGCAAGUUAG